rnacentral:rRNA from 1 species
GUCAGGAUGAACGCUGGCGGCGUGCCUAAUACAUGCAAGUCGAGCGAACAGAUAAGGAGCUUGCUCCUUUGACGUUAGCGGCGGACGGGUGAGUAACACGUGGGUAACCUACCUAUAAGACUGGGAUAACUUCGGGAAACCGGAGCUAAUACCGGAUAACAUUUGGAACCGCAUGGUUCUAAAGUGAAAGAUGGUUUUGCUAUCACUUAUAGAUGGACCCGCGCCGUAUUAGCUAGUUGGUAAGGUAACGGCUUACCAAGGCGACGAUACGUAGCCGACCUGAGAGGGUGAUCGGCCACACUGGAACUGAGACACGGUCCAGACUCCUACGGGAGGCAGCAGUAGGGAAUCUUCCGCAAUGGGCGAAAGCCUGACGGAGCAACGCCGCGUGAGUGAUGAAGGGUUUCGGCUCGUAAAACUCUGUUAUUAGGGAAGAACAAACGUGUAAGUAACUGUGCAUGUCUUGACGGUACCUAAUCAGAAAGCCACGGCUAACUACGUGCCAGCAGCCGCGGUAAUACGUAGGUGGCAAGCGUUAUCCGGAAUUAUUGGGCGUAAAGCGCGCGUAGGCGGUUUCUUAAGUCUGAUGUGAAAGCCCACGGCUCAACCGUGGAGGGUCAUUGGAAACUGGGAAACUUGAGUGCAGAAGAGGAAAGUGGAAUUCCAUGUGUAGCGGUGAAAUGCGCAGAGAUAUGGAGGAACACCAGUGGCGAAGGCGACUUUCUGGUCUGUAACUGACGCUGAUGUGCGAAAGCGUGGGGAUCAAACAGGAUUAGAUACCCUGGUAGUCCACGCCGUAAACGAUGAGUGCUAAGUGUUAGGGGGUUUCCGCCCCUUAGUGCUGCAGCUAACGCAUUAAGCACUCCGC